UAGGGAAUAUUAGUAAUGGGCGAAAGCCUGAACUAGCAACACCGCGUGUGCGAAGAAGGCCUUCGGGUUGUAAAGCACUUUUUGAGAGGAUGAGGAAGGACGGUACUCUCAGAAUAAGUCUCGGCUAACUACGUGCCAGCAGCCGCGGUAACACGUAGGAGGCAAACGUUAUCCGGAUUUACUGGGCGUAAAGCGCGUGUAGGUGGUUUGGUAAGUAGAGCGUGAAAGCUCCUGGCUCAACUGGGAGAGGUCGUUCUAAACUGCCGGACUAGAGGAUGGUAGAGGGAUGUUGAAUUCCUGUUGUAGCGGUGGAAUGCGCAGAUAUCCGGAGGAACACCAGUGGCGAAAUCGGCCUCCUGGACCACUCCUGACACUCAGACGCGAAAGCUAGGGUAGCAAACG
rnacentral:rRNA from 1 species